UGUCCAGACUCCUACGGGAGGCAGCAGUGGGGAAUAUUGCACAAUGGGGGGAACCCUGAUGCAGCGACGCCGCGUGAGUGAAGAAGUCUUUCGGUAUUUAAACCUCUAUCAGCAGGGACGAAGAUGACGGUACCUGCAGAAGAAGCCCCGGCUAACUACGUGCCAGCAGCCGCGGUAAUACGUAGGGGGCAAGCGUUAUCCGGAUUUACUGGGUGCAAAGGGAGCGUAGACGGCAGGGCAAGCCGGAAGUGAAAACGCGGAGCUUAACUUUGCGACUGCUUUUGGAACUGCCCAGCUAGAGUACAGGAGAGGUAAGUGGAAUUCCUAGUGUAGCGGUGAAAUGCGUAGAUAUUAGGAGGAACACCAGUGGCGAAGGCGGCUUACUGGACUGAGACUGACGUUGAGGCUCGAAAGCGUGGGGAGCAAACAGGAUUAGAUACCCGCGUA
rnacentral:rRNA from 1 species